GACGUAGGGCGCGAGCGUUGUCCGGAUUUAUUGGGCGUAAAGAGCUCGUAGGUGGCUCAUUGCGUCAACCGUGAAAACCAGCAGCUCAACUGUUGGCUUGCGGUUGAUACGGGUGGGCUGGAGUUCGGUAGGGGAGACUGGAAUUCCUGGUGUAGCGGUGAAAUGCGCAGAUAUCAGGAGGAACACCGGUGGCGAAGGCGGGUCUCUGGGCCGAUACUGACGCUGAGGAGCGAAAGCGUGGGGAGCGAACAGG
rnacentral:rRNA from 1 species